CAUUGAUUUUCCACUCAAUACCUCAUCUAGACCCCAAGGACCUCCCCCUCCAGCCUUUGAGGAAGUACCUCUUUUUCGUAACUCAUCAGGGGAUUUCUCUUGCUGCUACACUUCCUCAGGUUCUGCACCCUGUGACCAGAUUGUUCGAAUUUCUUCCUUAACCUUUGCUCCACCUGGGUUAUUUUUCUGGUGCAAUGGUACCCUAACAAAAAAUCUAAGCCUCAACAUGCUGUUUGCUUUUUGUGUUCCUUCCACCUUAGUUCCCCAAUUAACUCUAUACAGUGAGGCUGAGUUAACAUGGCUUGUUACUACCUCCCUUUCCAGGACAAGAAGGGCUGUCUUUCUACCAGUAGUAGUUGGACUCUCCCUGGCCUCCUCCCUCGCUGCCUCUGGACUCUGGGCAGGAGGACUUGGUUAUGCAGUAACAGCUACUCAAAAGCUUGAACAACAACUUCGGGAAGCAGUAGAGGCAUCAGCCGCUUCUCUCACUUCCCUACAAAGGCAAAUAACAUCUCUUGCCCAAGUCUCAUUGCAGAACCUUUGAGCUCUAGAUCUCCUCACAGCAAAUAAGGGAGGAACCUGUCUGUUCCUGAAAGAAGAAUGCUGCUAUUAUAUCAAUGAAACUGGACUGGUCAAAGAGAAUGUUGACACCCUCCGUCGUUUGGGUGAAAGGCUUAAACAGCAACCAUCAAAUGACCCCUGGCCAGGCUGACUAAAUUCAACCCUCAUUGCGUGGCUGACUCCCAUUCUCACUCCUAUUUUAGUAAUAGGGCUUCUACUAAUGAUUGCUCCCUGCCUCCUCAGGUUCGCUGGAAAGCGUGUGAGU
rnacentral:lncRNA from 1 species